UGAGGUGCAGUUUCCCAGAAACCCUUGCUCCUAUCUCCCUGAAACUUGGCAGGAUUCAUGUCUUCAGAAGGGGCUACCAUCCCUGCUGUUUUUUAUCUGAAUCAGAUGUGCUCUGAGGCUGAGGAAAAGGGCCCUUCCAGACCAUGAUGAAUUUUUCAUUUUAAAAGAAAGCAUAUGUAGGGUUACCAUACAUCUGGGAUUUCCUGGGAGAAGUGGCAAUUGGAGGCAGGGGGCAUCACAUUCUGUGCAUGCAAACACGCACAUGGCUGGCAUGCAUCCAGGCAGGGUGUUGGGAGCAGCACUGGCAGCUGCAUGCAGGAUAUAAGGCUGAAAACUUGUACAAGGACAGUGGAGUAAUGUACUUGUAUUUGUGAAAUGACUUUGUCAUGCUGCAAAGGGAAAGCUUGUUUUUUUUGCCUCAUAAAAUUGUUCAGCACAAAGGCAGUUUUUCUGUGACAGAGUUUCAUGAUCCAUUCAGAGUGGGUCUUUAAACACAACAGCAUUCAUUCUGACAGCUUAUUGUUUCUCUACCCCUCAGGUAAGUUGUGAACCUCAUGAACACACUGAGGGCUUGCAGAUUUUCCUGUAACAAAAGCACAACUUAUCUAUGCCUGAGAGGUUGAAGCAGAACAACACUAUUACUCACUCUUUCAUCCCCCCACAGGGAUAGGAAAAAUCUUUAAAAGCCAGCAUCCCAUUUCCUAAUGUGGACCAAAAUGACCUAUUCUUAUCAUAACAGUGAUGUUUUCUUCAUCAAAGUCCCAUAGAAGACCAAACAAAACCUCACUUUUCCAUGCCGGGCAUGCAUCAAGGUCAGCAUCUGCUUUCUCACCAUGAACUGUUUUAAACAAAAUGUUGCUUCUGACUGUCAAGUGGCUAAACCAUGCUCUGAUUGCAGUUUAACUAUUGCUACAAUGUCACUGAAUAGAAUACAGCUGGCGGGGUGCAUUCACUAAAGUGGGCCUGAGCUCUGACCAUCCACAUGUCCUUUAUUUAUAUGAGUGCUGGCUCACUAGUCAAUCGAUCAAUUCGGUGUUCUGUGAGCUCUUGACAGACCGCUUUUAAAAUGUGAAGCAAGCGCCCUUCCUGCUCCCUGCUCCCUGGGAGCAAGUUUUAUUACAGUGUUUCAAUACUCUCUAAAUUGUUCCCUAUUUUCUUAUUCGCUUGUUUUAUAAAGGAAUGAAAAAUAGUUUGCCUGCUGCUCAAGCUCCAUGUUUAUUUUAAAAUAUAGCACAUGCAUGACUAUACUUGGUAAAAUUCUCAAUGACGCAGUGGGCUCUAGGAAUAUCUAAUUACCUUCAAAGCAGUUAUAUUUAAGAAACUUGGGUGUGUUCAUUUUGAUGUUAUGUAUGCCUAAAGUUGUAAGAAAAUUAUGCGCACAGACUAUUGGACGAUUUUUAUUAGUAUUAUUAUUUUGCUUAGAAACCACUCAGUACUAUUCCAUGAAUGCCACUCUCCCUAAGAAUUUUUUCUUCUACUGAAGAGAGCUUGAUUUAAAACCACUUCUUCUUGCCUUUUAA